UUUCUUUCGCAGAUUGCGAUAUUCGUAGCCUAUGGAAGUCCAUCUGGAGGAUGUGAUUUAUUGCUAGUUGAAAACUUAACCCAAUACCCCGCCUGGGAUGAUUUGAAAUAUAGUCAACCCUGGCAAUUUUUGAUAGUCUCUUGUGAGA